AUUGACCCUUAUCGGCGUAAAGCGUGAUUAAAGUUCCACCCCAAUUAGAGUCAAACUAAGACUAAGCUGUGACACGCUUGUACUUAAGAAGCCCAUAGACGAAAGUUACUCCAACUCAAUCAACUUGAAUCCACGACAGCUGAAACACAAACUGGGAUUAGAUACCCCACUAUGCUCAGCCGUAAACUUUAAAUUACACCCACUAUCGCCAGGGAACUACGAGCAAAGCUUAAAACCCAAAGGACUUGACGGUACCCCAUAUCCACCUAGAGGAGCCUGUCCUAUAAUCGAUACCCCCCGCUAAACCUCACCACUUCUCGCCCAUUCAGCCUGUAUACCUCCGUCGUCAGCUUACCACGUGAGCGCAACUUAGUGAGCUUAAUGCCCAUACGCCAACACGUCAGGUCAAGGUGCAGCAAAUGAAGUGGGAAGAGAUGGGCUACACUCUCUAAAAUAGAAAAUACGGAAGACUACCUAUGAAAUCUAGUCUAAAGGCGGAUUUAGAAGUAAAAGAAAAAAGAAUGUUUUUUUACCCGGCACUG
rnacentral:rRNA from 1 species